rnacentral:rRNA from 1 species
CAGGCCUAACACAUGCAAGUCGAACGAAGCCUUCGGGCUUAGUGGCGCACGGGUGAGUAACACGUGGGAAUAUACCUUUCGGUGGGGGAUAACAUCGGGAAACUGAUGCUAAUACCGCAUACGCCCCAAGGGGGAAAGAUUUAUCGCCGAGAGAUUAGCCCGCGUCCGAUUAGCUAGUUGGUGAGGUAACGGCUCACCAAGGCGACGAUCGGUAGCUGGUCUGAGAGGAUGAUCAGCCACACUGGGACUGAGACACGGCCCAGACUCCUACGGGAGGCAGCAGUGGGGAAUAUUGGACAAUGGGCGCAAGCCUGAUCCAGCCAUGCCGCGUGAGUGAUGAAGGCCUUAGGGUUGUAAAGCUCUUUCGUCGGGGACGAUAAGACGGUACCCGAAGAAGAAGCCCCG